ACUCCUACGGGAGGCAGCAGUAGGGAAUCUUCGUCAAGGGGGGGAACCCUGAACGAGCAAUGCCGCGUGAGUGAGGAAGGUCUUCGGAUCGUAAAGCUCUAAGUAAGAGAAAAACGACAUUCAUAGGGAAUGGUGAGUGAGGAUGAUCUACCAGA
rnacentral:rRNA from 1 species